CUGCCGCGAGCCGGGGAUUCUCGCGCUGUAUUCGGCCGCCGAGAGAUGUCCGGCCACGAAGAGCCACAAGUGGUGCAUGAGCUGAGCGUGGAGGUGGAAGAAGUGCAUUAUGGGUCAGAGGUCAGCUUUUCUGCACUUGUUUCCUCCCCGUGGUCACGUGCGUGGUUGGGGAUGGUGUGUCUCCUGGCUGUAAGUACACAACAAGAGAAACAACAUGUAGUAGACAACUACAUUUGACUGCAAUUAUGAAGGUCAGUUAUGAAUUUUGAAGUGAAAUAUGAGCCCAAAUGUAAAUCCCCAGUCCUAUUAUUUUGCUUGAUUUCAGUU
rnacentral:lncRNA from 1 species